rnacentral:rRNA from 1 species
UACGUAGGGUGCAAGCGUUAAUCGGAAUUACUGGGCGUAAAGCGUGCGCAGGCGGUUGCACAAGACAGAGGUGAAAUCCCCGGGCUCAACCUGGGAACUGCCUUUGUGUCUGUGCGGCUAGAGUGUGUCAGAGGGGGGUAGAAUUCCACGUGUAGCAGUGAAAUGCGUAGAGAUGUGGAGGAAUACCGAUGGCGAAGGCAGCCCCCUGGGAUAACACUGACGCUCAUGCACGAAAGCGUGGGGAGCAAACAGG